rnacentral:rRNA from 1 species
AUACGGAGGAUGCGAGCGUUAUCCGGAUUUAUUGGGUUUAAAGGGUGCGUAGGCGGCCUUGUAAGUCAGCGGUGAAAUUUUGCAGCUUAACUGUAAAAGUGCCGUUGAUACUGUGAGGCUAGGAUUUGGUUGCUGUGGGUGGAAUGUGUGGUGUAGCGGUGAAAUGCUUAGAGAUCACACAGAAUAUCGAUUGCGAAGGCAGCUCACAAAGCCAAGAUUGACGCUGAGGCACGAAAGUGUGGGGAUCAAACAGGAUUAGAUACCCUGGUAGUCCACACUGUAAACGAUGAUAACUCGCUGUCGGCGAUAUACAGUCGGUGGCCAAGCGAAAGCGAUAAGUUAUCCACCUGGGGAGUACGACCGCAAGGUUGAAACUUAAAGGAAUUGACGGGG